UUUAGGGCGAAGUCCCAGUUACUAAAGCGAAGUUGCGGAUUCCCUCGCUAACUGGCUGGCACAGAGGUGGGGAGGGGGAGGGGCUGCCCGCCUCCUCGGGAGUUCGCCCUCCGAAAUGCCGGGGGCAAAGAACACUGCGGUGCCUGGCACCGGAAGCCCUGGAGCACUCGCGUCUCCGGGGAUCCGCCACGGGAGACGGGAAAGGCGCGCUCACCUGGACAGCGCGGCUCAGCGGCACAGAAUGCUGUCGCCCUGUUUGUUCACCGCGCCGGCCUGGAACAGCAACGGAACAGCAAGGGAAAGGUCAAGCCAGUUUUCCUUGGAAGUAUGGAGUGACCACCAAAGGCAAAAGUAAACUAUCUGUCCUGUUGAUAAAACUGUAAACAAGAAGUAAGUCAAUAGAAAAGUCCAUUUUUACCAACUUUCUUUGUGGAGAGUCAGGUGCUGAUUUAUGUUGUGGAACAGCCAAACACUAUGUAAGGUCCUGUCUGGGUACCAGCCAAAAGAGUAAAGCCUUAUCAUGAGCGGGACAGUCACCAAGCUCUGCUACCUGAAGCCAAGAACCAAUCGACUGACAGACCAGAUGGCCCAGCUGACCCUGAACGACCAGAAGGAAAAGGGACACUCGCACCAUCACCCACAGGCUGGGUCUGCCAACGGAGAAGGAUGGAGCCUGCCCCGAAGACAGGGGCCAAGGCUCAAAUGCCUGCUGCAGAGGGUAACAACUCCUCGGUGCCCCAUAGUGUUGAAUGGUUGAACCCUAAAAACUGUUUCAAUGGACUGAAUUUAUGAGUUUGGGUCUUGGCAGCCCUUGGAUGCCCCUUUGUCUUAACCCUUAUUUGUGCUUUAUGAUAUAUAUAUGGAGGAUGUUUUCUUGAGAUCGCAUUGAGGAACAGCACAUAGGUUUCACAGGCUUAACAGCUACAAUUGCAUUUACAAUAGAAAAAAGGAGGGAGAUUAGAUGUUGGGAACCUCCCUGCCUGGUUUCAGGAGCUAUAACCCACCAUGGCUAAAGCUGAGCCCAAGGGACCUGCUUCAUCUGGGUCUGUUCUGCCAUGAGGACCUGAACCACUAAGGAGACAAGCCUAUCUUCCUGACAGGAGCACUGCCUCUGCCCGCUUUACUUCACCCUGCCUGGCCCCCAGUGCUUGGUUGGUUAAUCAAUGACAGUUAAGAUCCCUCAAGGGAGGGGUGACCUAAGACAGGCACGAUCACGUGGAGGCCUUCAGGGAAGGACUUGGGGGGCUGUAGAAAAAGAGCGUCAUGGACCCUCGCCCCUCAGCUCUGACAUAGCCUGAGUCCUUUUCCUGUUUGCAAGGCGUCUCCUAAUCUCUUGGCUGCCUUACUUUCCCUACUCAACCUAAGCCUGAAACAAUGCCAGAGGUGGGUGGGGCCCUGUGCUGGAAAGGGUAGGUUCCUUGGGGCAAUCAGGCCUAAGAGAGAAAGCAUUAAAUCCUAUGAAACCUACUUUGCUAAUAUCCUCAAUUUAAAUGAUAAGGGUCCAAACCUGAAAUGAGUUUGUUUCCCUAAAGUUUUAUGGCCCUUUAGCUAUUUGACCCUGACUAAAAAUAGGCCCUCAGAGUUCUUUAAAUGUUAUGCAUUUGAUCAUUACUGCCUGACAAUGAUCGAUGGGCUUUUUCUGAGAAUGUGGGUCUUUGGAACCACUGGUUGCUCAUGGAUUGUAAUAAUGUUCUGUGUACUUUGACGCAUUUGCGAAUUAUUUUCCCAGGGUCCUGUGAGAGACCAGCAAGUAGCAAGUUUUGUGAGAUUCAUAGCGGUCCUAACUAUAAAACAAGGGGGGGCAUGUAGGACACUAUUCUACGUGGGCCCGGUCCCCAGUGGCAAACAUUUACUGCAAAGGAACUUCCUAAAAUCCAUGCUAAACCUUCCAAGGACAAGUGUAACCCGGUUCAACCACUUUCACCUUUUCAUUUACAAACAUCCCUCUUCUGUAAUGUAAUUAGUGGCAUUGGCUCCUUUGUUUUCUGUAAAAGGUAACCACCUAAAGCAACCUAUGCAUAGUAAGUGAGGACCAUCAUGUAAUGUGCCGAGAAACCCAAUAAAGGUCUGUCAUGGUGAGGGCUGUGGCUUUUGCUCCCCUUGAGAGAAAAAGCCAUGCUGUCCCUUUUCUUCCACCGGACUCGGUAGUCCAUGUGAAUGUCUCAUUUCAUCCAUAAUGAUGCAGACACUGUGGGCCGAUGUCUGCAUCACUUCCUUCUGACUUAAAUAGCUUAAAAAAAGGUUAUCUUUCUUCUGAAACUUUGCACUGUUGAACCAGCACUUUGGUGAUGAAGGUACUUGGUCUAUGUCAAUAAUGCUAAUAUUUCAUCUUGCAAGAGAUUCAGCACUUAUUUUAAAGCAUCUCAUUUGCUUUGUGCAUGCCCUGUACGUUACCAUCUAACACAAGAGUCUCAUCUCCAACUCAUCUAGAACUCAGAAAAUAUUUAUAUUCAUGUAGUGGCUGUGUUUUUGAAAUAUAAAGUAUGGCUGUAAAUUAUCAAUUCUGAUUUCCCUGAGUCAUCCAAGAAAACUAGUCACAUUAUGCAAUAGUCUUAUUGCACAGAUAAAUUCUGGUCAUCUUCUACAUUUUUAUUGACUUUUUUUCUCGGAAGUGGAGUCUAUAUAGUUCUAAAAAGAAUUUGCGACAGCUCACCUCCUAUGCAACAGUGCACUGUCAAACUCAAUCUUUCAAUUAAAGAAGGGAAAUAAAUAGCCAGUUCCCCUGUAACUACAUUACCUGAUGCUUGCAAUUUGGGGUAGCGUUUGCAUUCACUCAUUCCUCUCUUCAAAUACCUAAGAUACUUAAACCCAGAGGAGGCUUGACUCCAUUGUAUUAUGGUUCAUUCAUUAUCUACCAAUUUGUCCUAGGUCCUUCUAUUUCCUCUGGAGAUUUAAAUCUUUAUAAUAAUUGUUAUAUAUAUUUAUUUAUUCUGCCCAACAAAUUCUAGAGAAGUAUACUCUGCAAAUAUGGGUUACUUUAAGAAGGUAGUAAAAUAAAUCUCUCUUUCACUAUAUUAAAAACCAUGCCAAAAGUGAUGGCAUUGAUAAAAUGGUAAGGAUUGGAAAUAGACUAACACUGGUUUCCAAAUCUUGGUGUGCAAAACAAUCUUCCGUGUACUUGCUUAAAAUACAGAUAUCUGGUACCCACCCUGUUAUUUUGCUUCAGGUGAUUCGAAUGCAGUGAUUCAAAGGCCACAUUUUUAAAAAUACUGGUCUAAUCAACAGUAAGUAUAAUAAAUUUUAAAAGGAAACACUAUGCAUAUGGAAUUUCAUUGAGCCUAUAGGUAAAGGUAGAUGAUUCAAGAAAGGUUUUUUUUGGAGAGUUAUUUGUACAGAAAUUUCAAGAGCUGAUGUACUAGGAAUGGGAAUGAAUUGGGGAGGGAACAUAGUGGGGAAAGAUGUUGACGAUGAUGGAGUGUCAGCUUGUAGUAGCUACCAUGAACUGAACUGUGACCAGGCACUGUGAAAUGGCUCCACAUUUUAGAUGUACAUCAUUUAAUUUUCUCAGUCCUCAGAGGCAUCAUCUAAAAAUGAAGGACUGAGUGAAAUUAGCAGUUGCAAUAGGCAGAGGAAAUGUAGAUGAAGAACUGUAACAGAGUAAAAGAAAUAAAUCAGAUGUAGAGAUUAAUAAUCUAUAUCAAUAUCUCUGCCUCUAAGUAUACAUAUAAAUUCACUUUCAGAAGUCUAAUCACUAAUCACUAAAUCCUAGUGUUAAUGUAGAUACUAUAUUUUCAAACUUUGAAUCAAGCCAGGGAGGUUUAGAGGGAGAUACUGUCAACAAAUAAAGGCAGAAAAACCAAGAUGAGCAGGGUAAACUGGUUCUCCAAAUACAGACUCUCAGGAGUAAAAGGAGAAGCAGAGUCACUCAGCCAAGUUUCACGUUGGAGAACUCCCAGUGCAGUGUAACCACCACGGCAGGCUUGGCACUAGUGUGUAUCACAUCCAGCAAAGGGGAGGGUGGAGCCCAGCUUCUGACAAUGAAGACUCCACAGAGUGGGGUUAGAGCAACAUGAGCUCACUCCCUAACAAAGAUCUGAAGAUUCAACAGAAUUACAAGUCAUGAAAAACAUUGUUAAUUCUCAUGUUUUAUUUUAAAGCUGAAGUUACAUAAAACAUAUCCUUUUAUGAACUAUGUAGCUUCUGUAAUUAGGCCAUGUGAAGAUAAAAUCAAAAGGUAUAAAGUUUCAGUUGUGCAAGAUGAAUAAAUUCUAGAGACCUGUGGGUAACCUACAGCAUAGAGCCCUUAGUUAAUAACAUUGUAUUGAAUACUUAAAAUGUUGCUAAGAGGGUAGAUCUUAAGUGUUUUUAUCAAAGAUAAAUGAACAAAUGAAUGAUUGAAUAAAUAAAUAAAGCAGGAAUAAACAUUUGAAGGUAAUGGUUUCAAGGAUAUAUGUUUAUCACCAAACUCAUAAAGUUGUAUACAUUAAACAUACAGAAAAAAAAUCAUCUGCUCUGGGGAAAAUGUGACGUAAUCUGCAUUAUGUCUCAUUUUUAAGAUAUUCUAAAAAACUUUUCAAUCCCAGGUCUGGAGAAGUGAUGAGUUGUGCAUCCUAAUCUGUCUUCACCUCUGCCAUUGACUGGGUAAAUCUAGUGCGAUCUUCUUUGCAGCUUCCCUGCCUGUCAAUGCAAUGAGCAUCUGGAACUGAUUGGUCUAUGAGGUUCUGCUGAACUCCACCAACUCAUGCUUCUAAUUCAUUCAUUCCUUCAUUAACGCAUUUGUUCAUUUGCAGAUAUUGGGGGCAUGCCCACGGCUCUCCGAGCACUCUCUUCAGCCAGCAUACUUUGACACUAAUAACUGUCAGGCAGAAUACCUCUUAUCUGCUACUCUCUUUUCAGCUCUGACUACCCCAGAUCAGGUGGUCUGUGAGGUCAACCUGUAUUUUUACACUCAGUCGUUAGCAGGAAAUGGCUCUGACAGCUACCCAGAAAUUCUGGUUAUGAGUCUGGUCUCCUCAUGUGCCCAGUUGCUUUGUGAGAGUCAAGCAAAUUUUUCCCAGUUAGGUCAUGCCCUCUGGUCUCUCCUCUGUUUGAUCCUUGUUGCCUAUGGAUUUCAGAAUCGUAUUUGUACCCAUGAUAUCUCUCACAUUCUCAGAGAGAGCACUGUUCUUGGUGGCUUUGGGGAGAAGAGGCCCCUUUACUGGCCUGUGGUCUUGCAGAAGAGUGAAUUGCUUAACAAUUUUAUUAUUAAAUUUAGAUUCUCUAUAGUAUAAAGUAUGCAGCUAGUUUUCCUAUUUAUCUGAUAUUUAAAGUCAAUGGAUAUUUUAAAAUUUUGGUUAAUUGUGUAGAUUGUGUUUGUAUAGCUGCAAACCAUAGAAGUAGCUGGUAAAACAUGCUUCCUGCUUUGUUAAACUGUUACAGUUAACUGACAUUACCUAGAAACAUGUUUAUCAUAACAUAAAAUAGAAUUUCACUGUUUCCAGUCACAUUUAAUGUCAUGAAAUGAAAAUUUAUUGAAUGUUUCUCUUACUCCUUUUUUUAUCAUAUUAAGUAUUAAUUUCUAAUGGCAAUUUUUAACUUUUUUCAUCUUGUGGCACAAGUAAACUAACUACUAAAAUUCUGCAGCACAACGAAAAUAUAUUUUUGCAAAUCUGACAAAAAGGGGUAUAAUUUUUAUUGAUUUGCAACAAUAAUAGUAGUAGUAAUUAUGUAGCCUUUCUGCUCCAGAGGGAUUUUCUAAAAAAAUCAGGCGCCUAUACUUGUGUGUAAGGAUUUCUGAUACAAAGAAUUAACCAAUCAGAUGUAUCUUUAUUAUGUGAUGGGAACAAAAAGAUGCAACUCUGUUAUAUGACCUAUGUAUGUGUGACUCAAGGCAGAGCCUUACAUCAGACAACUAUUGUUACGUUGGCUAUUAUCAGUUUUUAAUGGACAAGUUAAGGAAAAAGAAGUCAGUGCCCCUGACUAAACAGUAAGGUAUUGCAAGUUUCAAAAAUUCUUGUGACACCUCAGUUGAGAAUCAGAUUUACAACAAUAAAAGUAAGAAGAUUUUUGUAUUCCUAAAUUUUCUACAAUAAACAUGAAUUAUUGGUACAAAAAGGAAUGAAGGAAGGAAAAAAGAAAACACACAACCAAAGAAUUUCUAGUUUAACUGUUUUUUUGUUUAAUGUUGUUAUUGAAAAGAAUAAAAAUUACUUCCUAGCAACUUUUCUAGCUUCAUAAGGGAUCCUAGGAAUUUCAGUUCUGGUUCAAGACAAUAAACAUAAAAUCGAAGAUUCAUGUGAAUUUUUUCUAGAAUACAAAUACACAUAUAGAAUUCAGUCAGUCUGGGAGCUGAGUGUAGCGCAGCAGGAGGUUUUACACAGGAAGUCAUCAGUGCUCUGCCUUUUGGGGGUGCUGAAGGCAUAAGGGUUGUAGUGUUAUCGUUACCGAACAAGAGGUCCAAGGGGAGGGGGCAAUAUAAUAUUUGGCCCAUCUAGGGAUACCAAAACUGCUACACAACAGGGGCCCCUCCCAAGGACAGAAUACUAAAAUCUACUGGGCUCUUCUGUCUGCCACCAAUUGGAAAGACAUCUCUCAAUGCCAGAGAUUUGUGAAAAGGAAAGAAAAUGUUUAUUUAAUGCUAUUCAGGCCUAACACCACCACUAAAAUAGCAAAGUCCUUUAGGGUAUACUCCUACACCCCCACAGCGCUCCCUUCUCCCACUGUCCAAACUCUGGGUACCGUAAAUCAGGAAAAGAGCACAUGUCUGUGUUGCAGGCCGCUGGCACCGUCACCUGUGUCACCUUGCAGGCAGGAUCUCUCUCUAGUUAAUCCAAAGUACUGUGGUACCCUCUCACGGUCCACUGGCAAGAGUCCUUUGUACCCAGUUCCAGUCAA